rnacentral:rRNA from 1 species
AUUGAACGCUGGCGGAAUGCUUUACACAUGCAAGUCGAACGGUAGAGGGGGCAACCCCUCGAGAGUGGCGAACGGGUGAGUAAUAUAUCGGAACGUGCCCAGUCGUGGGGGAUAACGUAGCGAAAGUUACGCUAAUACCGCAUACGAUCUAAGGAUGAAAGCGGGGGAUCGCAAGACCUCGCGCGGUUGGAGCGGCCGAUAUCAGAUUAGGUAGUUGGUGGGGUAAAGGCUCACCAAGCCAACGAUCUGUAGCUGGUCUGGGAGGACGACCAGCCAUACUGGAAAUGGUGAACGGUCCAGACGUCUACGGUAGGCAGCAGUGGCGAAUUUUGAGCAAUGGACGCAAGUCUGAUCCAGCCAUUCCGCGUUCAGGAUGAAGGCCCUCGGGUUGUAAACUGCUUUUGUACGGAACGAAAAGGUCUCUCUUAAUACGGGGGACUCAUGACGGUACCGUAAGAAUAAGCACCGGCUAACUACGUGCCAGCCGCUGCGGUAA